CCCAUAUUCAAAGGUCCCAAGGACUUCCUAGGGGGUGAGGGGAUAAAGUCAAAGAAGCCUGGCAGCACAGAUGGAAUGAUCUGUUUCCAUGGAAACAAGUAUCCACUCUCUGGGACCCAGGCUGUGAUAUCAUUCCCAGUAUCCAAUGACCUGCUGCCCCCAAGACCAGCAGCACAACAACCUACGCCAUGUUUGUGUUUUGUCUUACACUGGUGUCUCUAUUGCUACCACACCAGACUGCACAUCAUUUCCUCGUCUGGUUCCAAUACUAGAGUAUGACGCUUCAGAAAGCAGAGACAGCACGAGUUGUGCGUGCUGACUAGCACAGUGCCAGGCACAGAGGAGGAACUACAUAUGGGAUUAGAGAACUGAAGCUGUAUCCUCGGAUGAUGCAGAAUGAUUUCAUGCCUGAGAGACAUGGGGUAGACUGAACUUCUAGGAGAGGACUCACUUCUUCCUAGUCCUAAUCUAUAAACAAGACUGAAGAAAAAAAAAAGGUGAGAAAUUAGAUGGAACCAGGUUACAGAAGGCUGUUAAGAUGGAAAAGUACCAGCUGCAAACCACCUGGCCCCUCCUCUGCCAAGAGCCCUCCCCAAGGAGCAGAGCCCUCUGCCUAGGCAGAAAACCCAGGCAGGGACUUUCUGAAAAACUACUGUGUUCACCUUGAAGCUCAGGCCGCAGGAACACAACUCUUCAAAGGCUGCUCUUCUAUUUUCCAGAGUCUCCUGAAAAAGGAAGAAGAUAUCCCCAAAGAGGCUGACUCCACAACUCGUGCUGGAAGGCAGAUGGAGGGCUGUGCCAUGGUACAGUGAGGUUGGUGGACCCAUGCUCAUCGUGUUUAGCCAGAGACUCAGGCACACAGAUCUUCUAUCACUUGUUACAUUACCAACCUCCACAGCAAAGGGAAGGAAAUAAAGCAAACUGCAUAGGGGGUCUCAAAGGCUGCCACCCAGCAGCAGAUGUCAUGUUUGCACAUAUUACACUGGCAUAGAAAGUCGUGUGAACUAGAGUCAAGAAGGCCCAACUGUACAUGUGAAUAAAAAGAGAAGAAAUGGAAAUGCACUGUGAGACAUGGUAACAAGUAACACAUGAACAGGCCCCACGUCUACCUCUCUAGACUUACUUCAGGCCACUUUCUACUUUACAACCACACUGGUAAUAGAAAACUCAGGCAAAAGCAGAAAAAUGAACAAUAAAAAAAGCAUCUGAAACACACUAUUUUUUUUUAAAGUCUUCUCAGUAUAAAUCUUUUUUUUUUAUCUUUUAUUUAAUGAAUAUAAAUUUCCAAAGUACGACUCAUGGGUUACAAUGGCUCCCCCCCCAUACCGUCCCUCCCACCCACAACCCUCCCCUUUCCCACUCCCUCUCCCCUUCCAUUCACAUCAAGAUUCAUUUUCGAUUAUCUUAAUAUACAGAAGA